rnacentral:rRNA from 1 species
UACGUAGGGGGCAAGCGUUGGUCCGGAAUCAUUGGGCGUAAAGAGCGUGUAGGCGGCUUGGCAAGUCUCGCGUGAAAUCCUGCGGCUCAACCGCAGGCGGUCGCGGGAAACUGCCUCGCUAGAGUCCGGAAGAGGAGAGUGGAAUUCCUGGUGUAGCGGUGGAAUGCGCAGAUAUCAGGAAGAACACCCGUGGCGAAGGCGGCUCUCUGGGACGGUACUGACGCUGAGACGGCGAAAGCGUGGGGAGCGAACAGG